GACGAACGCUGGCGGCGUGCUUAACACAUGCAAGUCGAACGGUGAAAGCGGAGCUUGCUCCGCUGGAUCAGUGGCGAACGGGUGAGUAACACGUGGGCAACCUGCCCCUCACUCCGGAAUAACUCCGGGAAACCGGGGCUAAUACCGGAUAUGACCUCCUUGGGCAUCCUUGGAGGUGGAAAGUUUUUCGGUGAGGGAUGGGCCCGCGGCCUAUCAGCUUGUUGGUGAGGUAGUGGCUCACCAAGGCGACGACGGGUAGCCGGCCUGAGAGGGCGACCGGCCACACUGGGACUGAGACACGGUCCAGACUCCUACGGGAGGCAGCAGUGGGGAAUAUUGCGCAAUGGGCGAAAGCCUGACGCAGCAACGCCGCGUGCGGGAUGACGGCCUUCGGGUUGUAAACCGCUUUCAGCAGGGAAGAAGCCGCAAGGUGACGGUACCUGCAGAAGAAGCACCGGCUAACUACGUGCCAGCAGCCGCAGUAA
rnacentral:rRNA from 1 species